CCUACGGGAGGCAGCAGUGAGGAAUAUUGGACAAUGGGCGCAAGCCUGAUCCAGCCAUGCCGCGUGCAGGAAGAAGCAUCUAUGGUGUGUAAACUGCUUUUGUACGGGAAGAAACACUCCCUCGUGUAGGAGCUUGACGGUACCGUAAGAAUAAGGAUCGGCUAACUCCGUGCCAGCAGCCGCGGUAAUACGGAGGAUCCAAGCGUUAUCCGGAAUCAUUGGGUUUAAAGGGUCCGUAGGCGGUUUAAUAAGUCAGUGGUGAAAUCUGGUCGCUCAACGAUCAAACGGCCAUUGAUACUGUUAGACUUGAAUUACUGGGAAGUAACUAGAAUAUGUAGUGUAGCGGUGAAAUGCUUAGAUAUUACAUGGAAUACCAAUUGCGAAGGCAGGUUACUACCAGUGGAUUGACGCUGAUGGACGAAAGCGUGGGGAGCGAAC
rnacentral:rRNA from 1 species